rnacentral:tRNA from 1 species
GCGGGAGUAGCUCAGUUGAUAGAGCAUUAGCCUUCCAAGCUGAGGGUCGCGGGUUUGAGCCCCGUCUUCCGCUCUA